rnacentral:rRNA from 1 species
UGGGGAAUAUUGCACAAUGGGCGCAAGCCUGAUGCAGCCAUGCCGCGUGUGUGAAGAAGGCCUUCGGGUUGUAAAGCACUUUCAGCGAGGAGGAAGGUGGUGAGCUUAAUACGCUCAUCAAUUGACGUUACUCGCAGAAGAAGCACCGGCUAACUCCGUGCCAGCAGCCGCGGUAAUACGGAGGGUGCAAGCGUUAAUCGGAAUUACUGGGCGUAAAGCGCACGCAGGCGGUUUGUUAAGUCAGAUGUGAAAUCCCCGGGCUCAACCUGGGAACUGCAUUUGAAACUGGCAAGCUAGAGUCUCGUAGAGGGGGGUAGAAUUCCAGGUGUAGCGGUGAAAUGCGUAGAGAUCUGGAGGAAUACCGGUGGCGAAGGCAGCCCCCUGGGCCAAUA